rnacentral:rRNA from 1 species
GACGAACGCUGGCGGCGUGCCUAAUACAUGCAAGUUGAGCGCUGAAGGUUGGUACUUGUACCAACUGGAUGAGCAGCGAACGGGUGAGUAACGCGUGGGGAAUCUGCCUUUGAUCGGGGGACAACAUUUGGAAACGAAUGCUAAUACCGCAUAAAAACUUUAAACACAAGUUUUAAGUUUGAAAGAUGCAAUUGCAUCACUCAAAGAUGAUCCCGCGUUUUAUUAGCUAGUUGGUGAGGUAAAGGCUCACCAAGGCGAUGAUACAUAGCCGACCUGAAUGGGUGGUCGGCCCAAUUGGGACUGGGACACGGCCCCAAAUCCUACGGGAAGCAGCAGUAGGGAAUCAUCGGAAAUGGACGAAAGUCUGACCGAGCAAAGACGCGUGAGUGAAGAAGGUUUUCGGAUCGUAAAACUCUGUUGGUAGAGAAGAACGUUGGUGAGAGUGGAAAGCUCAUCAAGUGACGGUAACUAAACAGAAAGGGACGGCUAACUACGUG